rnacentral:rRNA from 1 species
GACGAACGCUGGCGGCGUGCUUAACACAUGCAAGUCGAGCGGAAAGGCCACUUCGGUGGUACUCGAGCGGCGAACGGGUGAGUAACACGUGAGUAAUCUGCCCCUGGCUUUGGGAUAGCCACCGGAAACGGUGAUUAAUACCGGAUACGACCGCUCCUCGCAUGAGGUGGUGGUGGAAAGUUUUUCGGCCAGGGAUGUGCUCGCGGCCUAUCAGCUUGAUGGUGAGGUAAUGGCUCACCAUGGCUUCGACGGGUAGCCGGCCUGAGAGGGUGACCGGUCACACUGGGACUGAGACACGGCCCAGACUCCUACGGGAGGCAGCAGUGGGGAAUAUUGGACAAUGGGCGGAAGCCUGAUCCAGCAACGCCGCGUGAGGGAUGACGGCCUUCGGGUUGUAAACCUCUUUCGGUGGGGACGAAGCGCAAGUGACGGUACCCACUAAAGAAGCACCGGCCAACUACGUGC